UAAACUCUGUCCCUCUUCAUUCGAGCAAAACACCCACCUCCCGCCUGCAGCUCAAAAUCACUGUCGAGCUCCCGCUCUCUCUCUCUCUCUCUCUCUCUCAGACGCACCCUCACUCCCAUUUUCUCACAGAGUCUCAAAACCAUGUCGUCGGAGCUUUCAACCAUCACAGCUUGCUUGCGAGGUUCUUGAAGAAAGUAAGCUCCUUCUUUCGAAGUAGGUACGGAUAUUUCGUAUUGGUUUGUAUUAAAUUUGAAUUGGGGAUUAGGGUUUUGUUGCAAUCGAUUUUGGGUGGGACUUUGUAUUGAAUUGGGGAUUAGGUUUUAGUUUUCUGGUUUUGGGGAUUGGGAGUUUUAGAGAACUCGAUUUAUGUGUGAUCCCACCGGGUAGUAAAAGUAAAACGACGUGUUCGAUAAUCGAUAUAGUUACUGCGAAACCCCGCCAAUGCAGUAGACUAUUUACCAGAAAAGAGCCACAAUCUCUAUUUGCUGCUUGUCUGGUUUAUAUUUUGGGAGGUCCCAAGCAAGAAUAGAAAUUUGGUUGUAGAGAGAUAAAGGCUUGUCAGCGGAGGCCUUGAAUGGUGCGAUCCGAUCCGAUCUGCGUACGUCAUCAUGUUUCUCUUCGACUGGUUCUACGGCGUGCUCGCUUCCCUCGGUCUGUGGCAGAAGGAGGUCAAGAUCUUGUUCCUAGGGCUCGAUAAUGAUGGCAAGACCACCUUGCUUCACAUGCUCAAAGAUGAUAGGCUGGUGCAGCAUCAACCUAUGCAAUAUCCCACAUCCGAGGAGAGGAGUAUUGGCAAAAUCAAGUUCAAGGCCUUUGAUUUGGGAGGUCAUCAGAUUGCUCGCAGGGUCUGGAAGGAUUACUAUGCAAAGGUUAGCUAUACUGUGCUUUAUGUAAAUGCCGAUAUUGCUGCUUUACAUCAUUGUGUCUUUUUAGAGUUGUUUUUUAAUGCCUCCUGGAUUCCUGUGUGUGAUAAUUAUGUCUACUGUCCAAUGUAAUGGGAACGGGUCAGUUGGUUUCUUGUCAAACCAGCAAAGAGCAAUUGUUGCCUUAGCACGUGCAAGGUAUUGCCUUUGGAUAUUGGGGAAUGCGUCAACUUUGAUUGCUAGUGACUCUGUUUGGAAGAAGCUAGUCCUUGAUGCCAAGAAACGGAACUGUUUUUAUAAUUGAUCGGUUUCUUACUUUGAAUACUUUCUGGAUUUUCAAUUUUCAGUCUUCAAUUCUUCAAUCGCCUCGAAUUCAAGUAGCAAAGCACAUGGCAAUGAUGGUCAUGAAUAUGUUCUGAGAUGUAUUCUCCGUCGAGCUGUCCGAUAUGGAAGAGAGGUGGUAAAAGCUCAAGAAGGAUUUUUCAAUGGGCUUGUACCGGUGCUGGCGGCACUGAUGGGUGAUGUAUUUCCAGAGCUAAAACAACAUGAAGCAGGCAUUAGGGAGAUAAUCAAAGAGGAGGAAGAAGCAUUUGGCAAGACUCUAAUUAAGGGAAUAGAAAAAUUCAAAAAGGCAGCUCAAGAUGUUCAAGGCAAAACAUUUAGUGGGCAGGUUAGUACAUUGUAUUUUGAUUUUACCCUUGCACCUUUUCUAGUCAUAUCUUAUGCUCUGCAAAGUUGUUGCUGUGACAAUGGUUCUUGCUAAAGAGGGGGAAAAUCUUUUCAUUCAACUACCCUGAGGUUGUUGAAGUUUCUGAAGUUGUAGUCUCUUCUAGUGUCUUGUUGGUUCAUAGUUGGAGUGUCAAAAAAACCGAGUCCUUCACAAAACAUUCCUGAUAUCAGUAGUUGCUUUGAAAUCAUAGUUGCAUUCAAAGCCCCAGAACAUAUUAUUUGCUAUUUAAGUGUUUGACAGAAUUGACAAAUGGUUCAUUGUACAAAUUGAGAUGAAAUUUGCAUCUGUUUUGGUAUGAAAAUAAUAUCAAUCAAGCAUCUGUUUUGGUAUGCUGGCGUGCUGCCAGUUUUGGACUUUUGGUAUGCUGCUUUGUUUCUCUAUGACAUCUCCUCAGUUAAGUUCAAUUGAUUUUGAGUCUUUUGGUUUGUUUUUGUUAAGUUCCAGCUCUUCUAUUUAGGGUUCAUUGGUUAAAACUGAAGGUAGAAAAGAGGUUCUGCAAAUGUGAAUUUGUGUUUCUGAGUUUCUGACCCAGUUGAACUUUUACUGAAAACUGUACAGUUCGGUUGGGAACUUGAAAUUAUUAUCUUCUUACAAAUUGCAAUAGACAUCUUAAAGAUUGUUUCAGAAUUGGAAUCUCCUAAAAACAAUUUUUCUAGUAUUACUUAUGAUUUUUCAAAGUUGCAGGUCUGCUGCAGGAAUUUCUGUACACAGCAAUACUGUCUUUUUAUUUCGGUCUCUUUAGUAGUUUUCUACGUCCAGUCUUUCUUGAAAGCACCAGUACUUGAAAAGUAGGCAUUCCCAUCCUUCAAAUGAAAUCAGUCUUGCUCUUUUUGGAGUUCGUAUGAAGGAUUUAUGUCAUCACGAAGUUAGCUCUAUGCAUUAGGAUUUUUGCAGCAUAAUUUUCUGCAAACAUUAAGCACUUUUCUGGGUGUUAAACUAUCUCAGUUUCUUGGAAAAUAGAACACUGGGUUUCUUGUGCCUAAGGUGUUUGUUGAAAUGCAUAGCUGAAAAAUAAAUGAAUCCAACUUCUACUGUUAAGGCCAUUGGUCACAGUCUUUCAAUUGUAUCUUUUCUCAAUAUGUUCCAGCAAUAUAUGAGCUAUGAAGGAAGUUCUAUUUGUACAAAGGAAGAGAUUUCUGUUCCAGCAAUAUAUGUCAGAGUGGUAAUUCAUGAUUAAAAUGUAAGUUUCUGUUAGGUAAUGGACUCUUCUUCACUGCAUUUGCGCUUCAUUUCAAGUGUGCUUCAUGGUGGGUUCUAUCUAGUUUGAUCAUGAUUGAUAGAGUUCGUUGGAUCAAUAAGGAAAAGCUUGCCAAGUUCAUUUUAGACUAUCAGGUUUUACAUAACCUAUUUGUACAUUUGGAAUAUUCUUUAGGAAUUUCCAAAGUGAAAUUCUAAUCAUGUGACUGAGUUUUAAUGAGUUCUUGUGGUUAAUUAUUAAAACUUGCAGGAUGUUGAAAAUGGAGGAAGACAGACCAGAUGAUGCCUGUGAUGCCUACCAUACAUAUUUUAGUGUAGCAGGUAUAAUAGUAGAUGCCCAGUUGGAGCCUCUGCUUUUACAUAAGAAGCAUAGAAUCCUUCCCUACUUGUAGGUUGGAUUAUUUUCUCCAUUUGAUACUUGUCAGUUUCUUCCUUAAUGACUAGAUUUGCAUUGUUUUCUCCAUAAAGGUGUCCUGUAGACAUUCAGAUGCACUAUCAUUUAAUGUAGUUUGAAGUUUCAUUGUGCAUUUUGAGUUGCUUUCAAUUUCCAUUGUGCACAGCAAUUUGAUGUAGCUGCGUUGUUAUUUGAACCACACACACCAAGGGAGUAUGUGCAGGGCUCGCAAGCCGAAUGGCUGCAUAUGCAGGUUGGUGGUAGCUUUGAAAGAACAACAUAAACUCGGAAUAUAAACUCUUCAAGUCCCAAUUGGUUCGGAAUGUGCUUAAUUAGUUCUGCAUCUGGUGUAAUAGAAAUCUAUUUUCUGAAUGUACUAAUGUAGUGUGAACAUGGUAGUAUAUCAUAUUAGCAGUUACAAGACGGCUGCCAGUGGAUUAUCUGCUAAGCUCACUCAACAGUGAAAGUAAAGGCUGUUGUUGAUGCGAAAGUAAAGGUUGUUGUUGAUGCAACUUCUGCUGGCAUCUUCAUUGUCAUCAUAAAGUGUGUUCUUCAAGACUUAGUUGGUUUCAACAUUUUACUAAAUUUUGUUAGAAAACUAGUUCUGUUGAUGUAAUGACUUUGUUGGAUAUAUGGAUGAAUGUAUCGGAUUUUAACAUAAAUGAAUGUGUUUUGGAUGUGAUGUCA